rnacentral:rRNA from 1 species
AUUGAACGCUGGCGGCAUGCCUUACGCAUGCAAGUCGAACGGCAGCACGGGAGCAAUCCUGGUGGCGAGUGGCGAACGGGUGAGUAAAGUAUCGGAACGUGCCCAGUCGUGGGGGAUAACGUAGCGAAAGUUACGCUAAUACCGCAUACGAUCUAUGGAUGAAAGCGGGGGAUCGCAAGACCUCGCGCGCUUGGAGCGGCCGAUAUCAGAUUAGGUAGUUGGUGGGGUAAAGGCUCACCAAGCCGACGAUCUGUAGCUGGCCUGAGAGGACGACCAGCCACACUGGGACUGAGACACGGCCCAGACUCCUACGGGAGGCAGCAGUGGGGAAUUUUGGACAAUGGGCGCAAGCCUGAUCCAGCCAUGCCGCGUGCAGGAUGAAGGCCUUCGGGUUGUAAACUGCUUUUGUACGGAACGAAAAGGUUUGACUUAAUACGUUGGACUCAUGACGGUACCGUAAGAAUAAGCACCGGCUAACUACGUGCCAGCCGCCGCGGUAAAAC